rnacentral:antisense_RNA from 1 species
CUUCACGGAGCCCAGCCACAGGGGCUCCUGGUCGUCGGGGCGGUCCUUGCCGUACGUCGCGAUGAGGGCCUGGGCCUC